rnacentral:rRNA from 1 species
GAUGAACGCUAGCGACAGGCUUAACACAUGCAAGUCGAGGGGCAGCAUGAUUUGUAGCAAUACAGAUUGAUGGCGACCGGCGCACGGGUGAGUAACGCGUAUGCAACUUACCUAUCAGAGGGGGAUAGCCCGGCGAAAGUCGGAUUAAUACCCCAUAAAACAGGGGUCCCGCAUGGGAAUAUUUGUUAAAGAUUCAUCGCUGAUAGAUAGGCAUGCGUUCCAUUAGGCAGUUGGCGGGGUAACGGCCCACCAAACCGACGAUGGAUAGGGGUUCUGAGAGGAAGGUCCCCCACAUUGGUACUGAGACACGGACCAAACUCCUACGGGAGGCAGCAGUGAGGAAUAUUGGUCAAUGGCCGAGAGGCUGAACCAGCCAAGUCGCGUGAGGGAAGACUGCCCUACGGGUUGUAAACUCCUUUUACCUGGGAAUAACGGGCGCUACGCGUAGCGCUGUGCAUGUACCGGAGAAUAAGCAUCGGCUAAUUCCGU